rnacentral:tRNA from 1 species
GGAGGAGUGGCAGAGUGGUCGAAUGCGACGGUCUUGAAAACCGUUGAGCGUUGACGCGUUCCGGGGGUUCGAAUCCCUCCUCCUCCGCCA